GAUGAGACAAACAUGCUAAGCUAGAGUCACACGCCGCCUACCAUAGGAGGACCGUGGGCCCCUGUACAAGCUGCACGGGAUGUCAUACAUUGCUACACCCUCCCACUGGCCCUGUGGCCUGGGCAUCAGGCUGUGACUCACACGGACGGGUAACACACCGACACUCCAGUCUUUUGCUGAGCCCUCAUCUCCACACGCAGCUCCCAGACCACCCAAGGCCUGGAGCCUGCAGUGGAAUCUGCAGGACUUUGGUGGGGAAGGAAAAAAUCUGUAGCCUCGGGACCUCGUGCUCAGACAGCUGGGUUCUGUCCCCGACAGGGGUACUGAGCCAGCCUGCAUUUGGCCCUUUGCCCCAAGAGGCUGUACAAGCCCCCCAGUUGUCUGCUCAAAGGUGGGCUGGUGGCUUAUUCUACCCACCCACCUUGGGGGGCCUCUUUGGCCCCAAGGGGAGGAGGAGGCUGGCCCAAGCCCUCUCUGUCCCCUGGGGCCAGGGCCCACCCCCAGCAGGCUCCAUCCUGCCAGCCUCCCUCCCCUGCACCUAGUGCUUAAACUUUUCCUUGAAAGGGCAGAGCCAGCCCCUCUCCUGAAUCCCAGAAUCUGACAUUCCAAGACUCAACCUAGGCCUGCUUCCCACUAUGGGAACUGCGGCCAAGGGGAGAGACCCAUGCCAGCCCCGAGACUCCCGGGCCCCGGGGCCAGCAUCUGAGCUGGUACAGGCUCCUGGGGCCUCUGUCAACCCAUCUGUCACCCCUCCCCCCAACACCCAGAUGUCCCGCCUUGGCGGUGCUGUCCCUGACUGUCACAUUAUUGCUCCGGAACCCGCCAGCUGGGCCCUGGGGCCGCCGGGGCUCCUCCGGAGCCCUGGACAAAGGCGGGGAAGGAGGGGCAAGGCCGCCUGACAGCCCGUCCCUCCCCGCCUCAGGAGGCAGACAUGCCCGAUGAAGUCAACAUCGAUGAACUGCUGGAAUUAGAGAGUGAAGAGGAGAGAAGCCGGAAAAUUCAGGGACUCCUAAAGUCAUGCACGAACCCCACAGAGGUGAGCCCCAUUCUGCCCCCUGAUGGGGGGAGGGGGAGAGGUCUCUGGGGAGGAGGGAAGAAGCUGGCCCACGGCAGGCAGAGGGACGUCUGGGAGCCCUGCCUGUCACAGCCCUGUCCUCCCCUCCAGCGGUGUCUUUUGUCUUCCUCAUUCCUGUCCCCUCUCCCCCAUCUGCCACUGGGCUCCAUUAUCUCCUCUCCGCUGAGACCCCCCCAUCUGUCUCCCAUUUCUGCCUCUGCAGGGCUCUGUCUGCCGUCCCCUCUCCCCUGUUGCUACCUCUACCGCCCUGGGGCUCCCUUCCCCACCUCUGGGGGGGCCCCCCAUCCUUCCAGGCCCUGAAGCUGAGUGGCCCAACCCCUCCCACUUCCUUCCCUGCUUUAAAAGGGAAAAAUAUUCAUGUUUCUCUCACCAGCUCUGGGCUGCGUGGGGGACAAACGUCACCGGCUCAGGCCUCCGUCCCUGGGGACCCUCCUGGUGAUCUCUUGGCCUGAGAAAUAUCUCAGUGGCUCUCUGGCUCUGGUUCUUUGUCCCUUCGUCUUUCCCUCUGUCUCUAUCUCUGCAUCUGUUUCUUUCAGUCUCAGCUCCAAGUCUCCGUCUGUGUCUUUCUCUCCCCCCUCACGUUUCUCUGUCUUUGCAUCCAUGUCUCUCUCUCUCUUUUUUUUUUUUUUUGCUUUUCAGGGCUGCACCCGUGGCAUAUGGGGGUUCCCAGGCCAGGGGUCUAAUCAGAGUUCCAGCUGCCAGCCUACACCACAG
rnacentral:lncRNA from 1 species